rnacentral:rRNA from 1 species
UAGGGAAUUUUCCACAAUGGACGAAAGUCUGAUGGAGCAACGCCGCGUGAAGGAUGAAGUAUUUCGGUAUGUAAACUUCGAAAGAAUAGGAAGAAUAAAUGACGGUACUAUUUAUAAGGUCCGGCUAACUACGUGCCAGCAGCCGCGGUAAUACGUAGGGACCAAGCGUUGUUCGGAUUUACUGGGCGUAAAGGGCGCAUAGGCGGCAAUUCAAGUCAUCUGUGAAAUCUCCGGGCUUAACUCGGAACGGUCAGAUGAUACUGCUUUGCUAGAGUGCAGAAGGGGCAAUCGGAAUUCUUGGUGUAGCGGUGAAAUGCGUAGAUAUCAAGAGGAACACCUGAGGUGAAGACGGGUUGCUGGGCUGACACUGACGCUGAGACGCGAAAGCGUGGGGAGCAAACAGGAUUAGAUACCCAGGUAGUCCCUGAGCGGGCUGGCAAGGCGCAU